CCCUGAUAGUUCAAUUAGUAAAGAAUUUGCCUGCAAUGCAGGAGACCCUGGUUCGAUUCCUGGAUUGGGAA
rnacentral:tRNA from 1 species